UGAUGAAGCCGUUUAGCCGAUCCAGGGCAGAU
rnacentral:piRNA from 1 species